AUUAUACUCCCUUCGCCCGAAAAUACUUGUCAUCAAAAUGGACAAAAAGGGAUGUAUCUAAAACUAAAAUACAUCUAGAUACAUCCCUUUUAUCCAUUUUCAUGACAAGUAUUUCCGGACGAAGGGAGUAUAUA
rnacentral:pre_miRNA from 1 species